UACGGAGGGUCCGAGCGUUAUCCGGAAUCAUUGGGUUUAAAGGGUCCGUAGGCGGGCCCGUAAGUCAGAGGUGAAAGGCCACGGCUCAACCGUGGGACUGCCUUUGAUACUGCGGGUCUUGAGUUACAGUGAGGUUGCCGGAACAUGUGGUGUAGCGGUGAAAUGCAUAGAUAUCACAUAGAACACCGAUCGCGAAGGCAGGUGGCCAACUGUAUACUGACGCUGAUGGACGAAAGCGUGGGUAGCGAACGGG
rnacentral:rRNA from 1 species